UACAGAGGGUGCAAGCGUUGUUCGGAAUUAUUGGGCGUAAAGGGCGCGUAGGCGGUGCGGUAAGUCCGCAGUGAAAUCUCUGGGCUCAACUCAGAGUCUGCUGUGGAAACUGCCGUGCUUGAGGUGUGGGAGAGGUGAGUGGAAUUCCCGGUGUAGCGGUGAAAUGCGUAGAUAUCGGGAGGAGCACCUGUGGCGAAAGCGGCUCACUGGACCACAACUGACGCUGAUGCGCGAAAGCUAGGGGAGCAAACAGG
rnacentral:rRNA from 1 species